UAGGAUUUCUUGUUGUCUAGCUAUUUAGUUUUUAGCUUAGAACUAUAAUUCUAUAUCAUAGACAAUGAUUUUGAUCCUUUUUUAGGCUGCUGUGGUUACAAUGUAAGCCCAUCAUGUUGCUCUGCCUAACUUGAUGUACAAAGACAGGUUUUUCAUCCAAAGUAAAGUAGUUCCUUUUCGGACAAUUGAGGAAGGCACUACUCCCGAAAUGUUGGUGCAGACUAGAGUUACACUCAUGGGAAAAAAAAAAUGAUAAGAAGGCAAUUGUUGGGCAAGUAAGAUGAAGUUGAGUCAUGUGGUGAUUGUUGUAUUGAUGAUCAAAUGAAAGGAUUCAAAUUCUCAUCCGUAUUUUACUCAAUAAUGAUGGCAGAUGGUGACGUUUCAUAGCGGCUACUCUACUGCUUUUUUAAUCCUUGAUAUCUAUUAGUACUUAGUGGAAUUUGGUGCGUUGUUGAACAAAACAAUUAAUUCAAGAAAACAUUAAAUAAGUACAUGGUAGGAUGCAUAUAUGAGGAUUCCCGUUAUGUAGAGGAUGAUUGUUAUUCUUGUCCUAUGUUUGUAGUUUUAAAAGUCUCCGUGUUCAGAUGCCACUCUUUUUCCUGCUCAUGUGUAAUAUAUGUAUAAUUUGGUGCCAUUGGGAGUGAGUUAAAGCUGCGAUGAUAUCCCCAACCACUCCCACAAAAACAUGCUGCAAGUUCUUAAAAGGUUUUGUUUUGUUUAUUAAUUACUCGAGGACAGUAGAGGCUCAAGCAUAAUGCCAGUUCAUUUUAUUUAUAAUGUUCUUCUUCUAUAUGUCGUACUUAGAACAAUGCGUCUUCUCCCGGCUGAUCUUAACACCAGAGUUCCAUGGUCUUAUGUAAGUGUAAAUAAUCACAUUGAGCAAAAUAUUAGAGAGUGGGAUUGUUUUUACAGCUUCAAGGUUGUUUUACAUAAUUGUUAAACUUUAGUGGAACACUUCAUAAUUCCAAAUUCUUUUCAUAAAAGAGAAAUAAAAGGAUUAUUGGAACUGUU